rnacentral:rRNA from 1 species
CCUACGGGCCGCACCAGUGGGGAAUAUUGGACAAUGGGCGAAAGCCUGAUCCAGCAAUGCCGCGUGUGUGAAGAAGGUCUUCGGAUUGUAAAGCACUUUCGACAGGGACAAUGAUGACGGUACCCGUAGAAGAAGCCCCGGCUAACUUCGUGCCAGCAGCCGCGGUAAUACGAAGGGGGCUAGCGUUGCUCGGAAUGACUGGGCGUAAAGGGCGCGUAGGCGGUUUAUGCAGUCAGAUGUGAAAUCCCCGGGCUUAACCUGGGAACUGCAUUUGUGACGCAUAGACUAGAGGUCGAGAGAGGGUUGUGGAAUUCCCAGUGUAGAGGCGAAAUUCGUAGAUAUUGGGAAGAACACCGGUGGCGAAGGCGGCAACCUGGCUCGAUACUGACGCUGAGGCGCGAAAGCGUGGGGAGCAAACAGGAUUAGAUACCCCUGUAGUC